GAUGAACGCUGGCGGCGUGCCUAAUACAUGCAAGUCGAGCGAACAGACGAGGAGCUUGCUCCUCUGACGUUAGCGGCGGACGGGUGAGUAACACGUGGAUAACCUACCUAUAAGACUGGGAUAACUUCGGGAAACCGGAGCUAAUACCGGAUAAUAUGUUGAACCGCAUGGUUCAACAGUGAAAGACGGUUUUGCUAUCACUUAUAGAUGGAUCCGCGCCGCAUUAGCUAGUUGGUAAGGUAACGGCUUACCAAGGCAACGAUGCGUAGCCGACCUGAGAGGGUGAUCGGCCACACUGGAACUGAGACACGGUCCAGACUCCUACGGGAGGCAGCAGUAGGGAAUCUUCCGCAAUGGGCGAAAGCCUGACGGAGCAACGCCGCGUGAGUGAAGAAGGUCUUCGGAUCGUAAAACUCUGUUAUUAGGGAAGAACAAAUGUGUAAGUAACUAUGCACGUCUUGACGGUACCUAAUCAGAAAGCCACGGCUAACUACGUG
rnacentral:rRNA from 1 species